UGUUCCUUUCAGACACUGUACGCGACGUACGUAUCAAGAAGCUUACUAUUUCUAAUAAUUAUUCAAUUAUUUUUUAAAAUCAGUGAUAGUGAUACGAAAAUUGUGUUUAGUGUUUUUGAAAAGAAACGCGAAAUUUACAUUUAAUUGUUAUUACUUGUCAAAGAAAUUUAAGAUAUAGUUUCUUUAAUUGUUGUAAUUAACAAUAUUAAUAGUAUUAAAGUUGGUUACAAGUAAGAGAGCUGAACGGAAUCCGUACUGUUACGCUAGUAAGAUUGAAUAGAUCUACAACUGUUUCAAAAGAAGCUGAACCAAAUAAUGACGGCUAGUCAGUACUAUCAUGUGCAGUGCACACCAACUGUUUAUCCUGCUGAUCCUUUCAAUCCAGAAGAAGAUGCAGCUCUUCUUCGAACCGCCAUGAAGGGAUUUGGCACUGAUGAACAGACAGUAAUCGAUGUUCUUGCUCAUCGUGGUAUUGUACAACGACUUGAAAUAGCUGAUAAAUUUAAAACUAUGUAUGGAAAAGAUCUAAUUUCCGAAUUGAAAUCGGAACUUGGUGGUAAUUUUGAAAAAGCAAUUUUAGCAUUAAUGACACCAUUACCAGAAUUUUACGCUAAAGAACUUUAUAAUGCAAUUUCUGGAAUGGGUACAGACGAAGGUGCUCUCAUUGAAGUGUUGGCGUCUCUUAGCAAUUAUGGCAUUAAAACCAUAUCUGCUGUCUAUAAAGAACUGUAUGAAAAAAAUUUGGAGGAUGAUUUAAAAAGCGAUACUUCUGGCCAUUUUAAGAGACUCCUAGUUUCACUUUCGUGCGCCAACAGAAAUGAAAAUCCUGAUGUUGAUGAACAGGCUGCAAUUCAGGAUGCUGAAAGAUUGCUUGAAGCUGGCGAAGGACAAUGGGGAACAGACGAAAGUACUUUUAAUGCUAUUCUCAUUACUAAAAGUUAUCCUCAGUUACGAAGAAUUUUUGAGGAAUAUGAACGUCUUGCUGGCAACAAUUUAGAAGAUGCUAUUAAGAGAGAAUUUUCAGGCUCUCUUGAAGACGGUUAUCUUGCAGUUGUGAAAUGUGCACGAGAAAAAACAGCAUAUUUUGCGGAGAGAUUAUACAAAGCAAUGCGUGGAUUAGGCACAGAUGAUACGACAUUGAUACGCAUAAUCGUAGCACGAUCAGAAAUUGAUUUAGGAGACAUUAAAGAUACUUAUCAAAAAAUUUAUGGACAGUCGCUUGCAGGUGAUAUUGACGAUGACUGUUCAGGAGAUUACAAGAGACUCUUGCUUGCUCUACUUGGAUGAAAGCAUUUUCAUGUUCAACAAUUCUUUUUGUUUUUGUAUCUUACUUUAAUACCAGGAAUAUACUUUUCUUCGCAACAUUCCGCGAAGCUGUAUAGUUAUUUUAAUUUUAAUUUGUUCUAAAUUACAUCAAUAAUUUACAGAGAUUACGAGUGACUGCAGCGAAGAGUUUAAGCGGCUUCUGAUUGCACUUGUAAAUUAAAGAAAAUCAUGGAAAGGAAUCUGUAUUUAUAUUAAUUAUAGUUAAAACAUUAUAAUUAAAAAAGAACAUAGGCAUCUCUAACACUGAUGUUAAUAAUGUGCAUCUUUAAUAAUAUGCAUAAUUAGUGACUGUACUGCUGAGUGGAAAAGACUUCUGAUCGCAAUGUUGAAUUAAAGAUAGCUUUAUUCAAUAAAAAUCACUGAAAUAUUAUCUAUUGUAAUACGAAGCAGCAGAUUAUGCAUAUAUUUAUAACAUUAUGAAUUUAAAAAAAUUUAAAAAAAUAAAUAACUGAUAUCA